GGAAACGUUUGCAACGAUACUGUAUGCCAAAAGAAAAAAAUCAGAAGGCUACUGUUAAUGCCGCAUUAAUUAUUUUUCAUAUAGCCCCAUAAAGAAAUAACCGAUCAGUCAUAAUAACCCCCCACCCCCGGCAGCUGUUUACGUUCAUGUCUCACGGCAGCGGCGCCGCUUCUCCACGUGACGCCUCCUAACGUUUAGUAAUUAACGACAGCUUAAUUAAAACUAAUGACUUGUGCCUCCGCCGUUCACGAUUGCGCCGACGAACUACCGGAUCGCCCGGGGGGGGGGCUGUUUUAAAAAUAAUAAUGAGAUAAAACGUCAGGAAAAAGAGCGAUGAAGCAGGACCCACAAAGCCGGGGGUGUUUGAGACUCCGUGCACGGGGCUGUCGCACCAUCCGGAGCGUGUCACAUGUGACGGAGCCUAGCGGUAGGAGACACCCACGUCCGUGGCGAGGAUGGCCAUAUGACCGAAGGUUAACCAGCCUGCCAAUUCUCGCACCACCACUCCCCAGCUUGACCGCGAGAAGCCGCAUAUGGUCAUCAGCCGCCUGCCGUAGCCGGUGUGUACCCCAAAGCACCCCCCACUCCAACCCCCAGCGCCUCGCGGCCCCUCAGCCGCCCGUCCGGGAGAUGGGUAAACGGGGCGACACACCUGAGCGAGGGGGUGUGACCCUA